CACCCAUCUUCAUCCAGCAAAUCACCAGCAAGUCAACAUUUCUGAGAGCGGAGCUGGACUUGUGAUUCUGAUGCUCCAAAUUACACAGUGGUUCACAGGGAUAAACACUGAGAGGCACCCCGUCCUUUCACUGAAGAUGGAGAAAGAU